CAGUUAGCGGCGGACGGGUGAGUAACACGUGGGUAACCUGCCUGUAAGACUAGGAUAACUCCGGGAAACCGGGGCUAAUACUGGAUAACUUUUCUCUCCGCAUGGAGGGAGAUUGAAAGAUGGCUUCGGCUAUCACUUACAGAUGGACCCGCGGCGCAUUAGCUAGUUGGUGAGGUAACGGCUCACCAAGGCAACGAUGCGUAGCCGACCUGAGAGGGUGAUCGGCCACAUUGGG
rnacentral:rRNA from 1 species